CCCCCUAAUCCUUAGAAAGCAGCAGUAGCCGGUAGUGUAAUACUCAGUUUUCCGCAUAUCGUGGCAUGCUACUCCGUUUAAUUAUUAGCCAUUUUGUUUUGUUUUUUUUUGUUAAUUUGACAUCAUUUGGAACAGAUUUGAACGUGGGAGAGAAUCAGAUCCCGACAGCAUAUACUCCCUCCGUCGCAUAUUAAGUAAAUUAAAUUUGCCCAAUAUGGAUGUAUCUAUGCCUUAAAAAUAUUUGCAUACAUGUAAUAG
rnacentral:lncRNA from 1 species